rnacentral:misc_RNA from 1 species
GUUAAAAUACCUGUAAAUUAACAUUGGCACAAGAGAUAUCAAAAGUGUUAUCGUUAACAAUUCAUUGAGUUCUACCUUAUUUAGCCACCCCUUGAUGGAACCAAGGUCAUCUUUCUCAUACAGAAGAUUAUAUAUCGAUGGAACUAAAGCCGGUAGAAGCAAUAGCAUAUAUCUAUAUACAACUUGUUCUUCAUAUAACUUUCAUGUAAAUUAGAGAAUACAGCACUUUAGCACAAGCCCUUUUUGAUCCAUCCUUGCCUCCUCAUUUCCUUCAGGAGGCUGAGCAAGCUUCCGGUUUUGUGGUGACAUCAUUUCUUUCUUCAA